rnacentral:rRNA from 1 species
UACGUAGGGUGCAAGCGUUGUCCGGAAUUAUUGGGCGUAAAGAGCUCGUAGGCGGUCUGUCGCGUCUGCUGUGAAAACUCAGGGCUUAACCCUGAGCUUGCAGUGGGUACGGGCAGACUAGAGUGCGGUAGGGGAGACUGGAAUUCCUGGUGUAGCGGUGAAAUGCGCAGAUAUCAGGAGGAACACCGGGUGGCGAAAGGC